rnacentral:lncRNA from 1 species
ACAAGACAGCACAAAGCCAACCAGGGUCCCUGAUUAAAAGUGAUUUCUUCUUUAAUUGAAAUGAUCUCUAUGAACAGCUGCCAGAGGAGCUUCUGAAGAGGGAAGUGCUACGAAGAGAGUUGGAAUAAGAACUAGAGGACAGAAGACUUGAAACUUCUCAUGGCACAGAACCUGCCAGCAGAAAGAUGAAGACACCUGUCCCUAUCUGCAUGUAGAGUCAUAAGCAGUGAUUUUCUAACUUGGCAGUGCUCCUUCGAGUUGACAUUUCCAAAAUCACCUAGAGGACCAGGAAAUUCAGUCAGGCUGGCAGCACAAGAGGUGGGCCUGAUCAAAUCCCUCCUGGAAAAUUAUUAUUCAAGAAAUAAGAGAAAAUGGAAGACGCUGGGCACAUGUCCCAAAAUACUAUAGAUAAGUUUUUGGAAGUAACUACUGAUUUCCAAAUAUAGAAAGUUUUCGAGCUUUGAUUUAUUUCGACCUAGAAGAAAAUUUAAAAAAUAAAAAGUGACAAAAUAAAGGCAACAUAUUUUCCUACUGUAACUCCUCAUCCAGAAUGAAGAGAUUUGAAAAAAUUAAUCUCAAUGAUUCAAACACCUCUCCUAAAGAACAUAUUUUCCUCCAUUAUAUAAGUAUUUCAAGUGGAGGUUUUUAAAUCUAAACAAUCAGAUUCCAAAAUGACUGCUUGUUUUCUUCCUUUUCAUGGCUGGGUAGCUUUCCUCCUUCUGUCUCGCUGUUUCUCUCCUCCCUCCCUCCCUCCCUCCCUCCCCCU